UACAGAGGGUGCGAGCGUUAAUCGGAAUUACUGGGCGUAAAGCGCACGUAGGUGGCGACGUAAGCCGGGUGUGAAAGCCCCGGGCUCAACCUGGGAAUUGCAUUCGAGACUGCAUUGCUGGAGUACGGAAGAGGAGGGCGGAAUUCCCGGUGUAGCUGUGAAAUGCGUAGAUAUCGGGAGGAACAUCAGUGGCGAAGGCGGCCCUCUGGUCCAGUACUGACACUCAAGUGCUAAAGCGUGGGGAGCAAACAGG
rnacentral:rRNA from 1 species